rnacentral:lncRNA from 1 species
GACUUCAAUUAUCUCCUCACAGCUAUUCUAAUGUGCUUUCAUCCAAAUUAAUCUCAAAUGCUGACUAAAAAUAUAAUAAAGAAGAUUAAAAUAGAAUACAUAAAAAUGAAAUAAGUAAACAAAAGAAAAUAAUAGGAUAAUCUUUUUCAUUUCGAGUCUAUGAAAAGCUACUUGCAGAUCAUCUUGAUUCAUAUCUUUCUAUUUUUCUGAUACUGGAAUAAAGCUUCAU